AGCUUUCCCAGCAGCUGAAACGUACAUAAUAAUUUAUAUCGGGCUUUUUGACAAGAAAUAUGAAAUACCUCUACACUGACCUUUCACAGCUUUUUCCCCCGCACUUCCUGUUCACAUGACGAAAACGUUUCUGAUUGGUGGAGAUGCUUUCAAGACAACUGGCUAGAAGGGAUAUCGAUUUUGUAAAAGAUACGUCAUAGUCCCGUCUGCAGAAGUAUUUUACUAGCCUACAAGCUCUUGAAGACAAUCUGAACCAUUAUAAACAGAAGACAAGGACAACAUUUGUUGUAAACAAAAAUGAUAAAGCGUCUGGACAGAAGGGGAAAACAGAAGAGAACCACAAGAUGCAGGACUUCCUGUUCCUCCAAUAUUUAAGAAAACAGAUGGAUACAGGGCUUUCUCCUACAAAGCUCCUCUUAUGUGAGAGACUCAGGCUUGAUUUCAGUCUUGUAAGUUACAUUACGUAUCUAAACCUUGGACAAAUAAUCCUUGCCUGUGCGGCCCAUAUGGGCAGAAGCCUCUCCUGUUUCUGUCACGUAAGGCAGUUUAAUGUACUAGUAGCCUAUACCUCCUGGACAGGACGCUAGUUCCCUAAUGCUGAGAGCCAAGCAGAGGCAUCAGGUCCCAAGGUGUUGGACUGAUGAACCACCUUGCGGUUUCUGCUUGGUCGACUCCCCACUCUCAACUGGGAUUCCAUACCACUGACUAUUACAGGGGGCUGAGUCCCUGGAUUGUUGCACUCAGGGUUGGCGUUGGACGGCGCCACAGUCUCUCGAUACCCCUGUCCCAGUCUCCAGUGUUUAUGCUGCAAUAGGGGCCACGGUCAGCUCGUCUCAUCUGGUGUACCCCUUAGCAUGCUUGUACCCAAGCUAAAUAUGGUAUAUUCCAACCCCUAGCAUGCUUGUACCGAAGCUAAAUAUUGUAUAUUCCAACUCACCCUCUUCCGUCCUCUCCCGUCUUAAGUCUAGGUGUGAUCUGAGUCUGGGAAACCAGCCCAUACUGUAGACAAUUGAGAUCAUUCCAGAAGAUUGUUUGAUUAUCUACAGUACAUUUAUCAUUUCCAUUCUACAAUAUGGCCUCUGACAAAUAACUCUCAAUCCUAUUGUAUUUGGGGUGUUUUUUAUGGAGAUCAUUGAGUGUCGAAUUUGGAGAAGAAAAUAAAUAAAUGCACCCCCCCACCCUUUGUCAGGGCGGAGAGACAUGCAUCUUGA